GCCUGGUUAGCUCAGUCGGUAGAGCAUCUGACUUUUAAUCAGAGGGUCGCGGGUUCAAGUCCCUCAUCGGGCG
rfam:Strongylocentrotus purpuratus Contig1336_fixed, whole genome shotgun sequence.